rnacentral:rRNA from 1 species
GACGAACGCUGGCGGCGUGCCUAAUACAUGCAAGUAGAACGCACAGUUUAUACCGUAGCUUGCUACACCAUAGACUGUGAGUUGCGAACGGGUGAGUAACGCGUAGGUAACCUGCCUGGUAGCGGGGGAUAACUAUUGGAAACGAUAGCUAAUACCGCAUAAUAUUGAUUAUUGCAUGAUAAUUGAUUGAAAGAUGCUAUUGCAUCACUACCAGAUGGACCUGCGUUGUAUUAGCUAGUAGGUGAGGUAACGGCUCACCUAGGCGACGAUACAUAGCCGACCUGGGAGGGUGAUCGGCCACACUGGGACUGAGACACGGCCCAGACUCCUACGGGAGGCAGCAGUAGGGAAUCUUCGGCAAUGGACGAAAGUCUGACCGAGCAACGCCGCGUGAGUGAAGAAGGUUUUCGGAUCGGAAAGCUCUGUUGUAAGAGAAGAACGGGUGUGAGAGUGGAAAGUUCACACUGUGACGGUAUCUUACCAGAAAGGGACGGCUAACUACGUG